rnacentral:rRNA from 1 species
AGUCGACGGCAGCCGGGGGCAACCCUGGUGGCGAGUGGCGAACGGGUGAGUAUACAUCGGAACGUGUCCUAGAGUGGGGGAUAGCCCGGCGAAAGCCGGAUUAAUACCGCAUACGCUCGAGAGAGGAAAGCGGGGGAUCUUCGGACCUCGCGCUCAAGGGGCGGCCGAUGGCGGAUUAGCUAGUUGGUAGGGUAAAGGCCUACCAAGGCGACGAUCCGUAGCUGGUCUGAGAGGACGACCAGCCACACUGGGACUGAGACACGGCCCAGACUCCUACGGGAGGCAGCAGUGGGGAAUUUUGGACAAUGGGGGCAACCCUGAUCCAGCAAUGCCGCGUGUGUGAAGAAGGCCUUCGGGUUGUAAAGCACUUUUGUCCGGAAAGAAAUCCUCUGCCCUAAUACGGCGGGGGGAUGACGGUACCGGAAGAAUAAGCACCGGCUAACUACGUGCCAGCAGCCGCGGUAAUACGUAGGGUGCAAGCGUUAAUCGGAAUUACUGGGCGUAAAGCGUGCGCAGGCGGUUCGCUAAGACCGAUGUGAAAUCCCCGGGCUUAACCUGGGAUCUGCAUUGGUGACUGGCGAG